UAAAAGAUAAGCUAAAUUUAAGCUAGUGGGUUCAUACCUCAUUUAUGGAUAAGAUAUUCCUCUUUUUA
rnacentral:tRNA from 1 species